GAUAGCAAAUGAAGCUGGAAGCCCGAAAUCAGCGCUUGUUUCUUACUUGUACUGCGUCUUGUUCAUUACAUUUCCAGCAUUCAACUCUCAUGCACAUUUUUAAUGUUCACAUUUGCAAAAAACUUCCAUAUGGACUUUGCUAUCUCAUAAACAUGAGCAAUGAGAAAAGAAGCAAGGUGUAUCCAAGACUGGAGGCAAUCAUUGAAGAACAAAUCUUUGAGCAUUUAUCCCGAGGGCAGGAGAGUAUAAUGGAAAAUCAACAGUGUAGGAUGAUAUGACAACUGUGCUGAACCACACGUUUUGCUGGGCAUCCAGAUGUCAUGUCUCCUCUGACAGUAUGAGCCGCUCAUCAAUUUAAUCACUAAGGCAGUGUACUUGAUACACUUAACUAUCCUGGGAGGAAAAAUGAUUGCUAGAACUGUGAAAUAAAAUUGAGUCACCUUUU